GCCGGUGUAGCUCAGUUGGUAGAGCAACUGAUUCGUAAUCAGUAGGUCAUCGGUUCGAUUCCGGUCACCGGCACCA
rnacentral:tRNA from 1 species